GUAUCUGUGAUAAAGCACACUGAAGUUAGGUUUGGAAUGCAUCCUUAUCAUGAAUGCUCUACACCUCCACCUCCAUCUCCCACAACCUAGGUAACAGCUUUGAGACUCACUAAAAGUUGAACCCCCUGAAUGAUGUAGGCUAUGGGGCCACAUAAGACUUUGUCCAUCCAGGGUUACAUUGAACGACAACUUUAAACUAAAAAACCAACAUUUUUCACACAACUCCAGGUUGUUACUAACAAAUUACUACUACAAGUGUCAUCAACGGGAUAACUACAAGUAGAAGCACCAUUUU